rnacentral:rRNA from 1 species
GUAGGUGGCAAGCGUUGUCCGGAAUUAUUGGGCGUAAAGCGCGCGCAGGUGGUUCUUUAAGUCUGAUGUGAAAGCCCCCGGCUCAACCGGGGAGGGUCAUUGAAAACUGGGGAACUUGAGUGCAGGAGAGGAAAGUGGAAUUCCACGUGUAGCGGUGAGAUGCGUAGAUAUGUGGAGGAACACCAGUGGCGAAGGCGACUUUCUGGCCUGUAACUGACACUGAGGCGCGAAAGCGUGGGGAGCAAACAGGGAUUAGAUACCCUGGUAGUCCACGCCGUAAACGAUGAGUGCUAAGUGUUGGGGGGGUUUCCGCCCCCUCAGUGCUGCAGCUAACGCAUUAAGCACUCCGCCUGGGAGUACGGUCGCAAGACUG